rnacentral:rRNA from 1 species
UACGGGGGGAGCAAGCGUUGUUCGGAUUUACUGGGCGUAAAGGGCGCGUAGGCGGUCAGCACAAGUCAGUUGUGAAAUCUCCGGGCUUAACUCGGAAAGGUCAACUGAUACUGUGCGACUAGAGUGCGGAAGGGGCAACUGGAAUUCUUGGUGUAGCGGUGAAAUGCGUAGAUAUAGGGGAGAACACUCGUGGCGAAGGCGGCCAGCUGGACCAGCACUGACACUGAGGCACGAAAGCGUGGGGAGCAAACAGG